CAGUCAUUAUAAAUACCAAAGUUGUUGAAAAUAUAUGAUCAUUCAACAGAUUUUGCUAAGUGAAAAAUGGCUAGGCCAAUUCUAGCUGAUUACCAUGGAGGCUUUGGAGAUGUCACCUUGUAACGAUCUUCAAAAGAAAAGAGAUGGUGGCGGUGGUGGCUGCGGCGGAGGUUGCGGUGGUGGAGGCUGUGGUGGCUGUGGUGGUGGUUGAUUUUGAUUGAUAUGGUGUCUACAAAUAUAUGUCCUAUAUUUAAUUUGUAUGCUUUAAUUUUUAGUAUUGGUAUAUUUUAAUUUACAACCUCUUGGUUGGACAUAUAUGUCGUUUAUCGUUGAACUAUGUUCCCUUUGACAAUGUUCCUUUUGAUAUUAGUAACUCUGUUGGAGGUUUUUUAAUUUUUUUGUUUUUAUUAUUUUUAAGUAUAAUAUGUGGAGUCGGUGAUACAUAUCUUAAUAAAUUGAGUCAGGUCUAAACAGGCGACAAUUCCUUAGAGGUUGUUUCUUUGAAAUCGAUGACUUUGUAUUUAAUUAAUAUCCUAAAAUGAAUCUAUUUUCCUUACCAUU